AAAUUGAAGAGUUUGAUCAUGGCUCAGAUUGAACGCUGGCGGCAGGCCUAACACAUGCAAGUCGAACGGUAACAGGAAGCAGCUUGCUGCUUCGCUGACGAGUGGCGGACGGGUGAGUAAUGUCUGGGAAACUGCCUGAUGGAGGGGGAUAACUACUGGAAACGGUGGCU
rnacentral:rRNA from 10 species